UUAGAGUUUGAUCCUGGCUCAGAUUGAACGCUGGCGGCAUGCCUUACACAUGCAAGUCGAACGGCAGCGCGGGAGCAAUCCUGGCGGCGAGUGGCGAACGGGUGAGUAAUACAUCGGAACGUGCCCAAUCGUGGGGGAUAACGCAGCGAAAGCUGUGCUAAUACCGCAUACGAUCUACGGAUGAAAGCAGGGGAUCGCAAGACCUUGCGCGAAUGGAGCGGCCGAUGGCAGAUUAGGUAGUUGGUGAGGUAAAGGCUCACCAAGCCUUCGAUCUGUAGCUGGUCUGAGAGGACGACCAGCCACACUGGGACUGAGACACGGCCCAGACUCCUACGGGAGGCAGCAGUGGGGAAUUUUGGACAAUGGGCGCAAGCCUGAUCCAGCCAUGCCGCGUGCAGGAUGAAGGCCUUCGGGUUGUAAACUGCUUUUGUACGGAACGAAACGGUCUUUUCUAAUAAAGAAGGCUAAUGACGGUACCGUAAGAAUAAGCACCGGCUAACUACGUGCCAGCAGCCGCGGUAAUACGUAGGGUGCAAGCGUUAAUCGGAAUUACUGGGCGUAAAGCGUGCGCAGGCGGUAAUGUAAGACAGUUGU
rnacentral:rRNA from 1 species